GAUGAAGAACGCAGCGAAGUGCGAUAAGUAAUGUGAAUUGCAGAAUUCCGUGAAUCAUCGAAUCUUUGAACGCAAAUUGCACUUUCUGGUAUUCCGGAGAGUAUGCCUGUUUGAGGUUCAGUGUAAUAAAUAAAUCGUGGUUGUUACCACCUUUCGUGGUGACGCUUCGGAAUUGAGUCGUCUUACCUUCGGGUUAAGUGACUUAAAAUUUUUUUCAUACGAUUUCGAAACGUAUUUAAUGUAUUAUGUACGUACGUUCACGAAUAUCGAAUGUUUAUUAGGUGCGGUCAUUUUUCAUGAAUCGUGUCUAUAAUUUUUUUUUUUGACCUCAAAUCAGGUAAGAAUACCCGCUGAACUUAAGCAUAUCAAUAAGCGGAGGA
rnacentral:misc_RNA from 1 species